rnacentral:lncRNA from 1 species
AACAAUCUAAAAUACUUUACUGCAAAUAGACCAAUCAAUUCUGAUCCAAAUCAAUAGAUAACUGAACAAAUGAAGGAUCAAGAGAUAGAUUACGACAUAUAAUCAAUUAUUUCAGAUCAACUAAGUAGACUAAUAAUGAACAGGAAAGGAAAAGUGAGCAAACUGAAAUUCGAGAUUUUCUCACUGGAUACUCAAACACAAGGGAAAGAUUUUCUUUAACUUCCUUUUCUCUUUUUCAAAGUCUAAAAUCUUUCCUUUCCUUUCCAAAACAUUUGUAAAACUCUUUUCCAUAAACCAAACUUCAGCGAAAUCCUUGGAAACCGGUUAGAGCCCACUGCCCAGCUAUACCACUGAGCAAACCCCGCACAUGCGGUACCCUAAUCAGGUUUAGGGUUAAACAACCCAAGGGAGGCACAAUCCCUACUCACACAAUUCACCGGGUCUAACUAAAUAAAACAAAUAAAACCAAAUCUGAUCUUUCCAUGAAACACUUUGCUUUUCCAAACCUAGUCAAUCUGUGACAACCCGGAAUUUUAUUAUGUAUAUAUUAUGUAUAUACCUAUUUACAAACUUGCUUAUAUAUAUAUAUAUAUAGGUAUGAUUGUUUUAAGUGUGUGUGUAUAUAUUUAGUGUUAUAUAUGCUGAAAAUUAAUAUAGUUAUUUAGUUUUUUUUUUAUUAAAAUUUAAUGAGUAGGGUUUUUAUCCAAGCCCAAUACCCAAAUACAAAGCCCAAGCCCAAACUUGAUAGCAAGGAAAAGAGAAGUGUUUGUCGUUCAGGCAAAACGAUGUCGUCCUCUUCUUCUUCAUCUCCUUCACCGCCUUCUGCUUCUUCUCCUCCGCCUUCCUUCCGACCUCUAAACUCGAAGUUUUAUCCUCUCUUCUUCACCGACUUCUUCUUUCUUCCGACCAGAUGUUUCCUAAUCCGAAACAUUGCCGCCAUAAAACCCAGAAACCGUCCUUGAAACGCCUAGCAGCCGACUUCAUUAAGCAGGAGAUGUCAAGAUUCUUGGAGACUAAGUUUCCAGAUGGAUAAGAAUUGGGUUGAAGUGCUCAAUUUGACUUCCUUGAGUCUUUCUUGGACUCCACGUUCUUCCCUCUUUCUAGACCCUAUAAAUAGAGGUUAGUAUUCAGAGUUUUCCAUAUGGUUUCCUUGAAUUCACUGAUAGAGAGAGAGAGAGAGAAGAGAAGAGAAAUUGGUGUUGUAGGAAAUUGGUAGAACUCAGGUUAGAUUCUCUUUAUGUUCAGACCAAUUAAUUGUGUUUAUAUGCUCUUAGUUUGUGAAUUUAGAAUUUGACAUCACUUUGGAAUCUUUGUAUGAUUGUUUAUUUGAUUGGAAUAGUUCCUAUUAAGAAUUGGUUUUGGUUUUGUUGCUGUUGAAUUCUGUGGCAAGUAGGAUUACUAAAUCCUUUGGUUUUGGUUAUCUUUGAUUUGAUUUCUUUGUUAGCCAAAUCAGUUCUUAUAUGUUAUUAAUAGCUAGAGAAUCAAGUAUAUGAUGUUGUUGUUAUUGUUGUUGUUGCUGUUGUUUGAAUUAGCUUAAAAUUUUGUUCAUGUAGUAGAUUUAUUCUUUUGUAAACAGAAUAGAAACUGAUGAAGAUGAUUAUCUUUAGUUCUGCAAGUUUGGGUGUCCUGAGUAAUUACAAUGUUGUUGUUCGAAUUAGAGAUUCUUGUUUUCUCUUACACAACAAGGGCUUAGAGUGACUAAGAAACCUAUAUGAGUAUUUAGACAUCGAUAGAAUUGAUUAGGAACCUUAGACUUUGCAUGAACUGAAGUGACAUUUGAAUGGAAAAGUUUUUGUAACUUGUUCAUUUAGUUAACUUUGAGCAACCAUAUCUUUGAAUUAAUCAUGCUUUUUAGAAAUCAUUUGCAUGUAUUGAAAGUUCAUAUUCUUAGCUUGAUAUCUGGGUAGUUUCAUGCAAGUUCAUUUAGAAUUCGUUAGUCAAGUUUGGAGCCGAAAACAUAGCUGAACAUUCUGCAAAUCAGCUUUCUUGUAUUUUGGAGUCAGUCACCUUGAUUUCUAAAAACCGUACAUUUAGGUUGGUUAUUUGAAGUUUGUUUCUUCAUAAAAGGUGUAGUAGACAUCUUAAAUAUUAUUUUAGAAUUUGAAUCACUUCAAAAGGAUUUCUUUAGGUUAAGAUAUGAUUUUUCAAAGUUCAGGGUCUGCAGUAAGAAAUUCUGCAGAUCAAUUUUCUGUGUUUUUGACCCAGCUGUAUUUUUACUAAACCCUGUGCAUUUCAGUUGAGUAUUUGAAGUUAUUAUCUUCAUAAAAGUUAUAGUACACAUGUUAAAUAUCAUUCCUGAAUUUGAAUCUCUUCAAAAGGAGUUUUGUAGAUUAAGUUAUGAUUUUUCAAAGUUAAGGUUCUGCAUCAGGAAAUUUCUGCAAAUCCGUUUUCCAAGUUUUGGACCAAGUGACCUUUCUAUUAAAACCUGUACAUUUUGGUUCAGUAUUUGCAGUUUGUGUUUUCUCAAAAGUUUUGGUAGACAUCUUAGUUAUCAUUUACUGAAAUCUCCUGAAAAUGAUUUAUGUACAUUAAGUUAUGAAUUUUCAAAGUUGAAGGUUAGCUUUAAAUGGUUUAUGUAUUUGUUACUAUUUUACUGUUUGUUCAUUUUGAUUUCAAUGGUUUCUUUCAUUCAAACUUGUUUAGAUUCACCACCAACUGAACACACACAUUCUCAACUUUCAAACAAAGCUUGUGACAUUAUUUUCCAAAUUUAUUUGAGAUACUUAUGCCAUUUUGAAAUUAGCUAUGUGUAACAGUUUUUCUUCAAAAUAAAUCUACAUCACAUUUUGCUUAGUUUUUUUAACACGUCAAAUGUUAUCUUAAUGGCCUGAGAUUUUAGGUAGUAUGUUUUUGAGACGUAUGCUUUAAAGUAAAGCAUGUUCUUAAAACAUAUGAGGUCACACCCAAUUUUCGAAGGAUAAUUUUCAAAAAUUUGGGCAGGAUAAAUCUAAAAAAUUUGGGCAUGAUAAAUCUAAAAAAAAAACACUCCCAAAACCUAUUCAACAACUUCCAACUAAAUUCAAAUGCUGGAAAUGUAAUGUCAACAAAACUCUUUAACUGAGGUAAACAUUAUCUCUCCUUAAUUACACCAACUUCAAAAAGUCCAGUAAAAUACAGUCGCUCGCAUGAGUUUAAUACUGUCUACCAGAAAUAAUAAAAUAAAGUGUACAACAUCUAAAAUCCUGUCACUAUGCCUCCACCUCAACCCUACUGAUCACCACCUGCAGGUCUAACCCCUACACCAUGAAUUGGUGCACCGGGUUGUAAAACAACAAAACCGGUAAGCUUAAAAGCUCGUAUGAGUAAAUCCCAAAAUAAUAACUCAACAAUUCCAACAUCACAUAAGAUAAAACUGGUAAUUCCUGCAUUAGCAACUUAGUUUAGAAAUCGCCUAAAAGCAAGAGAAUUCAAAAGAAAUAAUUAAGAAAACACGACAAUUCAAAAUGAUAAAUGAAUCCUGCAAAAAGCGUAGUUUAGGAAUUCUAUUAAAAUCACAUAAUUAAGAUUAAAAAAUCUCCUGUGAAUAAGCAUAGUUCAAGAGAUACUCAAACCAAGAAAUUUAAAUGAUAACACAUAAGAACAUCACACAAUCGUUUCUCUACUCUUAUUUAUGAGUUCGUCAACACUUAGUCAUCCCCCAUAAAUAACCAAAAAACGCAUACUCAUGGGUUUGUCAACACUUAGUCAUCCCCCAUGAAGUCCCGACAUACAAACUGGAGCUCUAUACUGACCGUAACCAAUCACCCGGUCAAGACUUGGUUCCUGGUCCACCACGAAGGCUCAUAAUCUAAUGCACACAAUCACCACUAAGGCACAAAUCCACAACUAAUUGAUAGGAGCAUAAAAUGCGACAUUCUUAAUGUGUUAUUAUCUCCAUUUGUACUUUGAUUAUCUCUUAUUGUUGUAGAAUAGAGUCAUAAUGUAAAGUCGAAAGUUUUUGGUAGAGUUGUGCGUAAAAUGUGUUAAACAUAGAGGAAUGAUGUAGAAAAUUGUCAAAAGCCGAUUUGUGGAGCCUUAGAGAUGUUCUUAUGAUUAUGUAAAGCUUUUACAUUGUCACAAAUUGAUUUAACUUCUCUGAUACUUAGGUGAUAUGAGAAGAGUUAUGGGAGAAAGAAUCAGGAGAAUUGAAGUUAUGCUUGAAUCAUUGCCGAGAGAAGUCUUCCUGAUGGACCUAGGGAAGCAAAGCAGCUGAUCCACGAAGCCUAGUCCAUGAAGGAGAGGUCCAAACCAAGUCCAAUAUGGAGAAGAAGAUCUAAAUUCGGCAGAAUAUCAAGGAAUAUCCAAGUCUUGAAAAUCCGGAUUAAAUCGGGAGAAUCCCUGUGCACGUCUGUCAAUUUCAACGGACUCUCCAGGACAGAUCACAAUGAAUCAGAAAACGUGCUAGAUAUGGAUAGAGAGCUACGGGAGUCUAGUUUCCAAAUCAAUUGGAAUCACCUCAAUAUCUAUUUUCUAGAGGGAGUUAUGAUGUAAUCAUCAGACGGAGGUCAUUCUGCCGAAAUUGAGAAGAACUAGGAAUCCUAAACCAACUUGGUUUAGGCUUUGUGGCCGACUUCUCUAGGGUUUUUCCUCUAUAUAAAGCAUGACUUCAAGAGCAGAAAAACAUCAUCUCUACUCUUGCAAUUACAUAGCCGAAACUCUACCAAACCCUAUACAGAAAAUUACUUAGCCGAUUCAUCCACCACAAACCAUAAGAAUCAUUCCAUCCUUCCACCGAUUUUCCCCACACUUGCCGAAUCUUUCAAGGUUGUAAAAGUGUGAUUUUCUCAUGGCUUCUUGUAUUAUUUUCUGUAUGGUUUCGAACUCUAUUGUAAUAUACUUUUCGAUUUUGGUUUUAUUUAUCAAACAUGGUUUUCGGA